rnacentral:rRNA from 1 species
AGUGAACGCUGGCGGUAGGCCUAACACAUGCAAGUCGAACGGCAGCACAGGAGAGCUUGCUCUCUGGGUGGCGAGUGGCGGACGGGUGAGGAAUACAUCGGAAUCUACCUUUUCGUGGGGGAUAACGUAGGGAAACUUACGCUAAUACCGCAUACGACCUUCGGGUGAAAGCAGGGGACCUUCGGGCCUUGCGCGGAUAGAUGAGCCGAUGUCGGAUUAGCUAGUUGGCGGGGUAAAGGCCCACCAAGGCGACGAGCCGUAGCUGGUCUGAAAGGAUGAUCAGCCACACGGGAAAUGAGACACGGACCAGACUCCUACGGGAGGCAGCAGUGGGGAAUAUUGGACAAUGGGCGCAAGCCUGAUCCAGCCAUACCGCGUGGGUGAAGAAGGCCUUCGGGUUGUAAAGCCCUUUUGUUGGGAAAGAAAAGCAGCCAGUUAAUACCUGGUUGUUCUGACGGUACCCAAAGAAUAAGCACCGGCUAACUUCGUGCCAGCAGCCGCGGUAAUAC